rnacentral:rRNA from 1 species
UACAUGGGGUGCAAACGUUGCUCGGAAUUAUUGGGCGUAAAGCGCACGUAGGCGGUUCGUUAAGUCGGAUGUGAAAGCCCUCGGCUCAACUGAGGAAGUGCACCCGAAACUGGCGAGCUUGAGUACGAAAGAGGAUCGCGGAAUUCCCGGUGUAGAGGUGAAAUUCGUAGAUAUCGGGAGGAACACCGGUGGCGAAGGCGGCUACCUGGACCGGAACUGACGCUGAUGCGCGAAAGCGUGGGUAGCAAACAGG